rnacentral:rRNA from 1 species
CUACGGGCGGCUCCAGUGAGGAAUUUUGCGCAAUGGGGGAAACCCUGACGCAGCAACGCCGCGUGAGCGAAGAAGGCCUUCGGGUCGUAAAGCUCUGUCAAGUGGGAAAAAAAUUCUUUGAUGAACAGUCAAAGGACUUGAUGGUACCACUGGAGGAAGCACCGGCUAACUCCGUGCCAGCAGCCGCGGUAAUACGGAGGGUGCAAGCGUUGUUCGGAAUUACUGGGCGUAAAGAGCGUGUAGGCGGUUUGACAAGUCAGAUGUGAAAGCCCCGGGCUCAACCCGGGAAGUGCAUUUGAAACUGGUUCACUAGAGUAUGGGAGAGGAGAUUGGAAUUCCUGGUGUAGAGGUGAAAUUCGUAGAUAUCAGGAGGAACACCCGUGGCGAAGGCGAUUCUCUGGACCAAUACUGACGCUGAGACGCGAAAGCGUGGGGAGCAAACAGGAUUAGAUACCCGGGUAGUC